GUUGAACGCUGGCGGCAGGCUUAACACAUGCAAGUCGAGCGGGGGAAGGUAGCUUGCUACCGGACCUAGCGGCGGACGGGUGAGUAAUGCUUAGGAAUCUGCCUAUUAGUGGGGGACAACAUCUCGAAAGGGAUGCUAAUACCGCAUACGUCCUACGGGAGAAAGCAGGGGAUCUUCGGACCUUGCGCUAAUAGAUGAGCCUAAGUCGGAUUAGCUAGUUGGUGGGGUAAAGGCCUACCAAGGCGACGAUCUGUAGCGGGUCUGAGAGGAUGAUCCGCCACAUUGAGACUGGAGCACGGCCCAGACUCCUACGGGAGGCAGCAGUGGGGAAUAUUGGACAAUGGGGGGAACCCUGAUCCAGCCAUGCCGCGUGUGUGAAGAAGGCCUUAUGGUUGUAAAGCACUUUAAGCGAGGAGGAGGCUACUUUAGUUAAUACCUAGAGAUAGUGGACGUUACUCGCAGAAUAAGCACCGGCUAACUCUGUGCCAGCCGCCGCGGUAA
rnacentral:rRNA from 1 species